rnacentral:rRNA from 1 species
AGUGAACGCUGGCGGUAGGCCUAACACAUGCAAGUCGAACGGCAGCACAGUAAGAGCUUGCUCUUACGGGUGGCGAGUGGCGGACGGGUGAGGAAUACAUCGGAAUCUACUUUUUCGUGGGGGAUAACGUAGGGAAACUUACGCUAAUACCGCAUACGACCUACGGGUGAAAGCAGGGGAUCUUCGCACCUUGCGCGAUUGAAUGAGCCGAGGUCGGAUUAGCUAGUUGGCGGGGUAAAGGCCCACCAAGGCGACGAUCCGUAGCUGGUCUGAGAGGAUGAUCAGCCACACUGGAACUGAGACACGGUCCAGACUCCUACGGGAGGCAGCAGUGGGGAAUAUUGGACAAUGGGCGCAAGCCUGAUCCAGCCAUACCGCGUGAGUGAAGAAGGCCUUCGGGUUGUAAAGCCCUUUUGUUGGGAAAGAAAAGCAGCAGGUUAAUACCCCGCUGUUCUGACGGUACCCAAAGAAUAAGCACCGGCUAACUUCGUG